rnacentral:rRNA from 1 species
UACGUAGAGACCAAGCGUUGUUCGGAUUUACUGGGCGUAAAGGGCGCGUAGGCGGCAAUUCAAGUCAUCUGUGAAAUCUCCGGGCUUAACUCGGAACGGUCAGAUGAUACUGCUUUGCUAGAGUGCGGGAAGGGGCAAUCGGAAUUCUUGGUGUAGCGGUGAAAUGCGUAGAUAUCAAGAGGAACACCUGAGGUGAAGACGGGUUGCUGGGCCGACACUGACGCUGAUAGCGCGAAAGCCAGGGGAGCAAACAGG